rnacentral:rRNA from 1 species
UACGUGGGGGGCAAGCGUUGUCCGGAAUUAUUGGGCGUAAAGCGCGUGUAGGCGGCCAGAUAAGUCCGCUGUGAAAUCUCGAGGCUCAACUUCGAGCUGUCGGUGGAAACUGUCUGGCUAGAGUCCGGAAGAGGAGAAUGGAAUUCCUGGUGUAGCGGUGAAAUGCGCAGAUAUCAGGAAGAACACCCGUGGCGAAGGCGGUUCUCUGGGACGGUACUGACGCUGAGACGCGAAAGCGUGGGGAGCGAACAGG